ensembl:lncRNA LINC02018 long intergenic non-protein coding RNA 2018
AGGAUGAGCGUUAGGAGGGCGAGGCCUGGGCGCCACCCGUCUGGGGCCCGAAAGGAGGGAGCUUUCCCUCUGUCCUCCAGCCUUUGGACUGUCUCCAAACAAGCCAUUCGUUCACCAAAUACUUAUUAAGCACCUACCAUGUGCCUGACAAGGGAGAUGUAACGCUGGGGAAACUGAGUUACAGAGCUUUUCUGCACUGAGUCAUCAGGAGCAAAUGCUAGAUCAGAUAGGGUCUCUCUCUCUGCCACCCAGGCCAGAGUGCAGUUGACGCAGGGCAGGGGAGCCCCGAAGUGGAGCAUAGUGUGUCCGGAACUGGUGGGUUCUUGGUCUCACUGACUUCAAGAAUGAAGCCGUGGACCCUCACGGUUCAAGCGAUUCUCCUGCCUCAGCCUCCAGAGUAGCUGGAACUACAGAUGCGCACCACCACGCCCAGGCUGUGCUUCUCAGUGGCUCCCACCAGAUACCUGAUGGUCCUGUCGAUUUGCUGAAUCAUCAACUUCCUAUUCUCUGCCUCUGGCCUGAAUCGAUGUCCCACGUUAUCUGGCUCUCUGUAACACAGAGUCACAAAGUCAAAGUCUUCCUUGGUGAACCAGUUCAUGACAGUAUCGAUGUUCGCACUCCGCUCUGUCUCGUUGCUGUUUGGCCAUGAUCUGUCACCCAGGCUGGAGUGCAAUGGUGUGAUCUCAUCUCGCUGCAACCUCUGCCUUCUGGAUUAAAGCAAUUCUCCUGCCUCAGCCUCCCGGGUAUCUGGGAUUACAGUUGCACGCCACCACACCUGGCUAAUUUUUUGUAUUUUUAAUAGAGACAGGGUUUCACCAUGUUGGCCAGGCUUGUCUUGAACUCCUGACGUCGUGAUCUGCCUGCUUUGGCCUCCCAAAGUCCUGGGAUUACAGGCAUGAGCCACCGUACCCAGCCACUCUUGAUUAACUUAAUGGAAAUAUUUACAGAGAUUCUUUCUCUUCUGGGUUCUAGCGUCUUAUCUGUAACCUCUGCAGGUAAUACAUUUUCCUUCCUGAUAAAA